AACUAUAGAGUUUUAAGGCUACGGUCCAACAACCCCUUCGUCUAAACUAAUUACUAAAAGAAUAUCUACAUAUACAUUUUUGCAACUAUUUUGUGAAAUAAAUCAUGUAGUUGGAACUUAUUUACAAUGGUUGCCAUUGGAUUUUAAUGUUUGUUUUUGAUAAUUAGAAAAAAAAUCUUCGAAUUAAAAAUUUGACAUUUAACAAUCUUCCCUAAAUCUCUCCACAUUAACUACACGAUUAGUUAAUAAA
rnacentral:sRNA from 1 species